GAGGAAGGGUGGAGCACUUUUGAAAACGAAAGUGCUUUUAUCUGGGGCCUGCGAAGGGCAAAGCUUUAGCCACCUCUUUACAAAUUCAGGACCAAUUAAGAUUUCAGACUCCUUUUUUCCCCACAAAAAGAUUGGAUAUAAUCCAUCAUUGUUGAGAUGAAUAACACUGUGAAAGAAGAUAUUUACAAUGCAUUGAAUGAACUCAUUGAACAGCAAUUUAAAGAAUUUAAAUGGAGGCUCAAUUUUAUUAAUUAUGAUGGAAGGCCAAACAUUCGUGGAGCUGCACUAGAGAAAGCUGGUCGAACAGAAAUUGUAGAUCUUCUGAUUCAACAUUAUGGAGAAGAUGCUCGAAAUGUGUGCACUGAUGUCCUUCGAAGAUGCAAUAGAAAUGAUAUUGCCACAAACCUUGAAGCUCGAUAAAAUGUUGCAGAUGUUGAUGUUCACCAAUUUGCAGAAUCAUCAGGUUGAAUGGAAAAUAUAUUAUACAGAAGGAUGAAUGGAUGGACAUGGAUUAUACGCCUAGAACCUCCAGUAUACAUGCUAUUUUUUCAUGCUUGCUUGUUUGAUCUACAUUUAUUUCCAUUUAGAAUAUGGUUAGGCAGAAUUGGAAUUUAAUAUAUUUCAAAUGAAAGUCUGAAGAACAUUCCUCCAGCAGUAUAAUCUGAAAUGAAGCCUUUUCUCCCUUUUCAGCUAAAAAUGCUAAAAGAAUGACAGCACACAAACCUUUUAAUGAAAAUGUGGACAAUAAAACAUAAUUUACUGAUCUUUUGAAUCUCCAAAAGCAAAAGAUUCAAAAUCCAAAGGAAAAACCAGUGAUAUUUGGUAGAAAACAUCGAUAGCUAAGCAACCAAUCAGAUAAUUAUAAUAUUAUUAUUA